GUUCAAUGGGUGAAUAAGUACAAGCUUCCCUUGAAACAGUGGUUCGCAGAUUUUUUUUCAGUGACUCUUUUACUAACAAAAUGCCGCAUAUCCCCUACCCUUUUUCCUGAUGUGUUAACUUGUCUUUAAGCGGGCCACCAUCAAUUUGCUCAACUCCGGGAUAGUUGAACCUAGGCAGGCCUUAGUGACUUGUUUAAGUAAUAGAAUAUGUUGAAAAAUAUCUUUGGAGCUUCUGAAGCUAGGUUAUAAGAAGACUUGGAGCUUCUGCCUACGCCUCCUGAAACACCUACUCUUGGACCCCUGAGCCACCAUGCAAGAAAGUUUAGUCCCUGCUGGAAUGAGUUCAUGGAGAGGCUCUGAGUCUGUAUGGAGAGGGAGACAGGCCUAGCUGAGCCUACCUACUACCUGUGCCCACUAAAGCAUCAGGCAUAUGUAGUGAGAAGGUGGCCAUUCCCAACCCAAGGAGAGAACCCUCACCAGAUACUGACCCUGCUGGCAUCUUGAUCUUGGACUUCAAGGCUCCAGAACUG
rnacentral:lncRNA from 1 species